UGUUGGGGAAGAGAGCUGUAAGAGAAAAAGUUCGAAGUAAAGAAGUUGCUGAGUGAACCCGCCUUGGUGUCCGUGCUGUUCUUGUCUCUCUGGCUCGAAGGACCAGCAACAAGUGGUGGCCCGUACGGGGAACUCAUCGAGUUGGUCGGCAACGGUCUUUGGCCACCAACCCAUGAGGGUAGACAGAAGCCAUGAGCAGGAUUCAGAUGGCCAUGAGUAUAAUGGAGGAACUUCCAGGAGUGAGCUUCAGUGAGAACACUACUUCAUUGUUCCAGGGGAGUAAUGAAUGGUCUUUGAGGACAUAAGGCUAGCUCACAUCUCAAUACUUUUCUUGGCUGACAUCCAGGCAGAUUUAUAGUGCCAAGGUCUAAAGGCUUGAAAAUAUCCCAGCAUCCUAUUGCUCUAGCAGCUAAAUCAAACCUGAUGCCCAGAACCUGCGUGAGCAGAAUAAUGAACCGUACUGCACUCCUUCCAAGCCCUGCCAGUGGUGGAGUCUUGGAGGGCAGGAGGAAGCCACUGGGAAUGGAGAAGCUGUGUUACAGAAAUUCCUGACAGACUAGGAAGAAGGAACCAAUGUUAUCAAGCCUCUUCUACGAACAGAUGGCCUGCUGGCCAAACAUGUGGUGGAGUACUAUCUCCCUUUAUGAAAAAAAUACUAAGACAUGACAAAUACAAGUUCUUCAUUCAAAAGUGCACUACACCUUCCAAGCCAGAUCCUGCGUGUUCUGCAAUGGCAGCUGCUGCUGAAGAUUCCGAUUCCCCAGGCUGGAGUGAGUCCCAGACUCCAGCAUGGUUAAACACUUUCCAGGUGAUUCUAAUGUAUAAUCAAGGUUGCAAGUCACUGCCAUGCAGCUCUCCUCCUGCAACGGACUUAGAACUCAUUUGUGUAUAUGAGGGUACUAGAUGAAUCCAUCCAUAUGCCCAAACAUGAACACAUACUCAGUUUACCUUUACUCCACCCCCACACUCCCACUCAUUCUCCACUCUUUGAGAACGUUCUUUUUCUUUUCUGUGAUACUAGGGCUUGAGCUCGGCCCCAUGCAUGCCAGGCAAACGAUCUACUACUAAGCCAUAUGCCCAAGUCAAGAGCACUUGUUAGAAUAUUAACUUCAUUCACUCACAUCCAUGUGUUAAGUUUUUCUAGUGAGCACAGCAUGACACCAGACAGAAGAACAAAUAAGGUUGAGUGAGCCCAAACCUCGGGAAACUUGGAAUUGAGUACAGUAGUCAUGGGGCCAUCUCCCUGCCAAACUCUACCUGCUCUGGAACACCUAAGUGUGACACCCAACUGAGAGGACCAUGACAAUCAGUUGCAUAGGGAAAACACUUGAAGUCCUUUCCCAUGCUACUAGAGCAUCACUAGCAUCCAAAACUGAGCCAACAGGAAACAUCUACCCCUGGAUCCCACCCUGCUCCUCAAUGUUUAUAAAAGUCCUUACACAUGAACCAAGUUGUUUCACUGAGAAUUGUCUGAGAGUGGCUGUUUUACUGAGCUGAAACACUUUGGGGAAAAGUUUUCUCCCCUGAAGCAUUCAUUGCUUGACCUUAGACCAGCCUGGCAGGCUGGGUUCACUGCCCUGCUGGGAAGCUGCCUGUUAAUACCACUCACCAUCGCCCACUGCUGCCUACCACUGCCACUGCCCCAGCCCCUGCCGCUGGCAUUGAAAAAGCCAUGGAAGGAAGUGAGAUCUGGGACUCUACUCCCUGCCCUGCAUGAACGUCCCUUCUGAGAGCUGUAACACUUUGGCUGUUUCAAGCCAGACCAGAGACCCAUGGAACCCCGGGUUCCAAGGAGGAUGACAGCAGAGAAAGGAAGAGGCCCACCUGCAGAUCUAGAUGUGAGGACAUGAAGAGUCUCAGCUGCUCAUGCCUUCCACCACCAUGGAGCCUUCCCACCAUGCCUUCCACUACCAUGGAGCCUUCCCACCAUGCCUUCCACUACCAUGGAGCCUUUCCACCAUGCCUUCCACAACCAUGGAGCCUUCCCACCAUGCCUUCCACUACCAUGGAGCCUUCCCACCAUGCCUUCCACUACCACGGAGCCUUCCCACCACGCCUUCCACCACCACAGAGCCUUCCCACCAUGCCUUCCACCAGCACAGAGCCUUCCCACCAUGCCUUCCACUACCACAGAGCCUUCCCACCAUGCCUUCCACCACCACAGAGCCUUCCCAUCACCAAUGUGAAUUGUUUCUCCUCAAAUUGUGGGCCAACAUAAGCCACUUACUUCCUAAGGGCUUUGUGUCAAAGAGAAAAGCAAAUCAAAUGCACUUAUUAUUUAAGAUUCCAAUGAA